rnacentral:rRNA from 1 species
AUCCUGGCUCAGGAUGAACGCUGGCGGGGUGCUUAGCACAUGCAAAGUCGAACGAAGUCUUCGGACUUAGUGGCGGACGGGUGAGUAACACGUGAGAAUCUGCCCUUAGGAGGGGGACAACAGUUGGAAACGACUGCUAAUACCCCAUAUGCCGGAAGGUGAAACUUACAUGGCCUGAGGAUGAGCUCGCGACUGAUUAGCUAGUUGGUGGGGUAAGAGCCUACCAAGGCGACGAUCAGUAGCUGGUCUGAGAGGAUGAUCAGCCACCCUGGGACUGAGACACGGCCCAGACUCCUACGGGAGGCAGCAGCGGGGAAUUUUCCGCAAUGGGCGAAAGCCUGACGGAGCAACGCCGCGUGCGGGAGGACGGCCUGUGGGUUGUAAACCGCUUUUCUCAGGGAAGAUAAUGACGGUACCUGAGGAAUCAGCAUCGGCUAACUCCGUGCCAGCAGCCGCGGUAAUACGGGGGAUGCAAGCGUUAUCCGGAAUUAUUGGGCGUAAAGCGUCCGUAGGCGGGUAAGCAAGUCUGCUGUUAAAUAUCGGGGCUUAACCCCGAAUCUGCAGUGGAAACUGUUUAGCUAGAGUACGGUAGGGGUUGAGGGAAUUCCCAGUGUAGCGGUGAAAUGCGUAGAUAUUGGGAAGAACACCAGUGGCGAAGG